rnacentral:rRNA from 1 species
CCUACGGGAGGCAGCAGUGAGGAAUAUUGGUCAAUGGACGAGAGUCUGAACCAGCCAAGUAGCGUGAAGGAUGACUGCCCUAUGGGUUGUAAACUUCUUUUAUAUGGGAAUAAAAUGUUCCACGUGUGGGAUUUUGUAUGUACCAUAUGAAUAAGGAUCGGCUAACUCCGUGCCAGCAGCCGCGGUAAUACGGAGGAUACGAGCGUUAUCCGGAUUUAUUGGGUUUAAAGGGAGCGUAGGUGGAGUGUUAAGUCAGUUGUGAAAGUUUGCGGCUCAACCGUAAAAUUGCAGUUGAAACUGGCAGUCUUGAGUACAGUAGAGGUGGGCGGAAUUCGUGGUGUAGCGGUGAAAUGCUUAGAUAUCACGAAGAACUCCGAUUGCGAAGGCAGUUCACUGGACUGCAACUGACACUGAGGCUCGAAAGUGUGGGUAUCAAACAGGAUUAGAUACCCUUGUAGUC